ACGCUCGACACCUACUGGAGGCAGCAGUGGGGAAUAUUGCACAAUGGGGGAAACCCUGAUGCAGCGACGCCGCGUGGAGGAAGAAGGUCUUCGGAUUGUAAACUCCUGUUGUUGGGGAAAAAGAGGAUGGUACCCAACAAGGAAGUGACGGCUAACUACGUGCCGNNCGCCGGAGUAUNGNGGCGNGNGAGAG
rnacentral:rRNA from 1 species